rnacentral:lncRNA from 1 species
CUAGUUACCCACCGUGUUUCUAAAUAUAAGCAUUUUAAGAGGUUUCAAUACGGAUUACAUACUCUAAGAUAUGUGUAUAUACAUCCGCAUGUACGUAGUUCGUAUUGAAAUAUUAAAAAAUGCUUAUAUUUAGAAAUGGAGUGAAUAGUUUCUGUGUCAAACAGCUGCUAUUAAUCAUACGUGUGUUAGUAGCACCCUGAAAUCCAGUGGUUCGUACUAGUUGUAGCUGAGUAGGUUCAUGAUAACAGUGUACACGUACCAAGUUCAGUUUAGUUCUGAGUCUGAGAGAUUUGAUACUCCCUCCGAUCCAUACUAAGUGUCGAUGUACUCCCUCAGUAAGAGAUUUGAACUUCCUGCUAUAUGUUACUACCACUUCUUUUCUGUAAGUGUUAGUACCAGUGUCCAUCCAUUUAUUAAUAUCAAUUGUUGUAUUGUAGACUUAAUUGUGUUGGUUCCUCUUUUGCAGAAGCUCAAGUGUGAAGUGUGAAGCCGUGAAGUGUGAACCCAAGUGUGAAGCUGUGAAGUCUUACUCAGUUUAGAGUAGCAUAUUGUAGAACAUAUGUGUUGUAAAGAUUGUAAUAGAUUUAUUUAGUUGUAUAUUUGAUCAAUUUUAUGUGUUCUUAGUUCUAUUUGGAAUUCAUUCUUGGAUUGAAAGUGGUCG